GUUAGAGUCAAGCGGGUGAGGUGGAACUCCUCAUGAGUCUUGCAAGUUCUCCAGUCCUGCAUAGCCCGUGUUUUUGUGCACUGUCAUCAUCAUGGGAGACACACAUCACCUUCAUUAUCAUCACCAUUUCCACCGCCAUCAUCUGCAUCCUAAUCAUC